GACGAACGCUGGCGGCGUGCCUAAUACAUGCAAGUCGAGCGGACAGAAGGGAGCUUGCUCCCGGAAGUUAGCGGCGGACGGGUGAGUAACACGUGGGCAACCUACCCUGUAGAUCGGGAUAACAUCGAGAAAUCGGUGCUAAUACCGGAUAAUCAUUUGAAGUGCAUGCUUCGAACGUAAAAGAUGGCUCCGGCUAUCAUUACGGGAUGGGCCCGGGGCGCAUUAGCUAGUUGGUAAGGUAAUGGCUUACCAAGGCAACGAUGCGUAGCCGACCUGAGAGGGUGAUCGGCCACACUGGGACUGAGACACGGCCCAGACUCCUACGGGAGGCAGCAGUAGGGAAUCUUCCGCAAUGGACGAAAGUCUGACGGAGCAACGCCGCGUGAGUGAUGAAGGUUUUCGGAUCGUAAAGCUCUGUUGUUAGGGAAGAACAAGUGCCGUUUGAAUAAGGCGGCACCUUGACGGUACCUAACCAGAAAGCCACGGCUAACUACGUGCCAGCAGCCGCCGUAAAAC
rnacentral:rRNA from 1 species